rnacentral:rRNA from 1 species
GACGAACGCUGGCGGCGUGCUUAACACAUGCAAGUCGAACGGAAAGGCCCUGCUUGCAGGGUACUCGAGUGGCGAACGGGUGAGUAACACGUGGGUGAUCUGCCCUGCACUACGGGAUAAGCCUGGGAAACUGGGUCUAAUACCGGAUAGGAGCCAUUUUUAGUGUGAUGGCUGGAAAGUUUUUUCGGUGUAGGAUGAGCUCGCGGCCUAUCAGCUUGUUGGUGGGGUAAUGGCCUACCAAGGCGGCGACGGGUAGCCGGCCUGAGAGGGUGGACGGCCACAUUGGGACUGAGAUACGGCCCAGACUCCUACGGGAGGCAGCAGUGGGGAAUAUUGCACAAUGGGCGCAAGCCUGAUGCAGCGACGCCGCGUGGGGGAUGACGGCCUUCGGGUUGUAAACUCCUUUCGCUAGGGACGAAGCUUUUUGUGACGGUACCUAGAUAAGAAGCACCGGCUAACUACGUG